GGAUUAUUGAACUGCAGUGUGUGAGGUGGAGAGUGGCAGAAAGAAGCUCCUUUUGGGUACAGCUUGUCACUUUUCUUCCUCUGUUAAUGCCUUUCUCCAUUCAUGCUUCACUGAUUCUCUCUCCCACUAGGCUCAAAUUCUGCCUCUCAGCAGCCAAGGAGUAUGGGGAGUAAAUCCUGGGUGCACACAAGGGACACUUAAGAUCAGGAAUCUCAGUCUGCAGGAUGAACUGAUAAGAUGGAUAGCCUGGCUGAAGUCUGCCAAGAAUCAGAGGAGCACAGCAGCAUGCCAGAUCCUCCUUGGAUUUGAGCAUAUCGGCCUGCUAAGUGUCCAGCAAGGGUGCACCAGCAAACCAUCCUGACAUUAAAGACAGAUAAGUAGUAAGAGACCAACAUAUCUGCAUCAGUAAUCCUCUAGUGACUUGAAUAUCAAAAAGGAAAUUCUACAGUGAGUAAAAUCAAGGGCAUAUUGUAGAAGCAGUGGCCUGCUUUGGCAAUCCUGACCUUGAUUAACAGCUCUUCUCCCAUGGGAAAGCACAUACCAAAGGGUAAGUCCAGCCAUAAAUACCUGUGCUUUGAUGUACAGCCCAGAAAACUGGGCUGUGAAUGUGUGUGGGAUGAAUGAUAAGAGCCAGAAACAUCAGCUCUACUUUUCCUGUUUUUGUGUGGUGACUUUCUCUCUCCUGCUGGCUGGCUGUCUAAUUGAUGCUAAAACUUGUACACAGAAGAAACAGAUACAAAUCAGAGGGACUGCCAUCUGCACUUAUCAAGACAGUUGUGGACUUUCUUUGAAGCUAGGAGAUGGCCCAGGUGCAUGUUUUGUAGCAGGUGGCUGAGAUGAUUGGAACUGUGACAGAGCAUACAAAUUAUUACAUGGACAUUUAGACACAAGAAUAAGGAUUUCAUAAUGCACAAAAACUUUCUCUCAUAAGAAAACCACUGGAGCUCGUGAAUUUUGCUGUGCAAAUG
rnacentral:lncRNA from 1 species